CUUUCUAGACAUAAAAUGUCACUUUUUUCACCUUAUCACACUGUAACAUCAACUUUUACAUUUUAAUGUAAACAAUCAUAUUUCGUAAUAUUUUAGGUCAGAAACAUUUCAUAGUACUAUACUAUGUCUAACUAUGUGAAAAGAAUCAAAUUGGAGUAGGUCGGGCAACUGAUUAUAUGAGUUUGUCAGAAACAUUUCAUAGUACUAUACUAUGUCUAAAUAUGUGAAAAGAAUCAAAUUGGAGUAGGUCGGGCAACUGAUUAUAUGAGUUUGUUAGAAAAACCACUUUCCUUUGCUCCUAGCGCCUUCUCGUUCGCUGUAUAGCGUUUUGAGCGGAUAAAGAGCAGAAGUGUGUAUGGGGACACAGGAUGAAUGGGAACUAGUUUUGUUAUUGCACUUUU
ensembl:lncRNA